CGGGACAAUCGUGGUAUUUGUGAUUAGAUUUGAAUGGAUUUGAACUUUUAGCCCGACAAGGACGUCAGGGCUUAAAUGGGGAAAGUAUAUGAGGAACCAUGCAGGCAUGAACCCAAAAAAAUACCUUUUGACUAAUCUUUUUGAGUGAGGUUCUAGAUUGUUGUAGCGAUAGCAAGGAUUCAUUGGGGUUGACUGCGGAACAAUCGUGGUAUUUGUGAUUAGAUUUAAAUGGAUUUGAACUCUUAGUCCGACAAGGACGUCAGGUCUUAAACGAGGGAAGUAUGUGAGAAACCAUGCAGGCGUGAACCCAAAAAAAUACCUUUUGACUAAUCUUUUUGAGUGAGAUUCUAGAUUGUUAUAGCAAUAGCAUGUGCGGGUGGUUUGGCCAAUAGAGAUGCCCGUUUAGUCUUCAGAAAGAAGGUUUAGAAUGUGAGCCUUUAUUUUAUUUUGUUUAUUUUUUAUUUAUUUUAUCCUCCUAAGAGAUAGAGGGGGAGGGGGAAAUAAUAUGUGAGAGUGGUUUGACCAGUAAAGAUGAAUCGGCUAAAUGCAUCAGUAUUGUCACAAAGUGAAUUUUGUAGUUUGGUUGAUAUUCUGA
rnacentral:lncRNA from 1 species